rnacentral:rRNA from 1 species
UGGUUUAGUGGCGCACGGGUGAGUAACACGUGAAUGACAUGCCCUUGAGUGGGGGAUAGCCCAGGGAAACUUGGAUUAAUACCCCAUGGUAUCGCGAGAUUAAAGGUGGCCGCAAGGCUGUCGCUCAAGGAUUGGUUCGCGCCCUAUCAGCUUGUUGGCGGGGUAACGGCCCACCAAGGCUACGACGGGUACCUGGUUUGAGAGGACGAUCAGGCACACUGGAACUGAGACACGGUCCAG